GAGCCGUUAGCUCAGUUGGUAGAGCAUCUGACUUUUAAUCAGAGGGUCGCUGGUUCGAAUCCAGCUAGCCCA
rnacentral:tRNA from 1 species